AGCAGCCGCGGUAAUUCCAGCUCCAAUAGCGUAUAUUAAAGUUGUUGCAGUUAAAAAGCUCGUAGUUGAAUUUCGGGAUUAGUACGUUGGUCGUGCCUUCGGUACGUACUGGUGUUACUGAUUCCUACCUUCUGACGAACCAUCAUGUCAUUUAUUUGGUGUGGCGGGGAAUCAGGACUGUUACUUUGAAAAAAUUAGAGUGUUUAAAGCAGGCUCGCGCUUGAAUACAUUAGCAUGGAAUAAUGAAAUAGGACGUUUGAUCCUAUUUCGUUGGUUUCUAGGAUCGACGUAAUGAUUAAUAGGGAUAGUUGGGGGCAUUAGUAUUCAAUUGUCAGAGGUGAAAUUCUUGGAUUUAUUGAAGACUAACUACUGCGAAAGCAUUUGCCAAGGAUGUUUUCAUUAAUCAAGAACGAAAGUUAGGGGAUCGAAGACGAUCAGAUACCGUCGUAGUCUUAACCAUAAACUAUGCCGACUAGGGAUCGGAUGAUGUUAAUUUUUUAAUGACUCAUUCGGCGCCUUACG
rnacentral:rRNA from 1 species